ACAUCUAGGUUAAGAUGCCGUCACACACAGCACUCACCUUUCUCGUUGCAACUCUCAAAACCCUACCAUUCUGACACUGUUCACUCACUCAACAUCUUCCUACAAAUGAGUAAUACCAAAAACCACUACUCAGUUGUUAGUUCCCUUUCACAUCAUAUGGACAGGAAAAGUUCAGAACUUUCUACCAUGAAUUUUGCCUAUUCUCUGUUCAACAAGAUUCGGAAGGUGGGAUAUCAUCAGCCUGAUGUGGUAACCUUCAAUACACUUUUGAAAGGUCUUUGUCUUAACGGUGAUACUAAUUGACAGAGAGGAGUGACUUGUGGACACUUUAACAAGAUGAAUGGGUGUCAUGCUUCGUGAUAAAUGUCUGGGUCAAUUGCUUGAACUGGAAUCAACCAAAUGAAAAAAUAACAAGACUGGUUACACCAUUCUUCAAUUAUGUUGACAUGGAAAGACGUGAUGCCUUAUAUAUAACGAAACCAAUUGCAUGCAAAAGAUUCAUCGAGAGACUGAAAAAGUUCAAAUACAUGGAUUGGAAGGCUAUUGACCCUACAAGUCUAGAAUAUAUCAUGACGCCAGCACUAAUUGGGAAUCCGGGUAGUCAUUAUGUAUGCUUUGUUGUGAAUCUCAAAAGCCAAAAAUUACAAUUCAUGAACAGCUUGAUCGGAGAGACAUUGCACAAAAAGAUGUUUGAUGUAUGGCUGAAGGAGGUGGAAGCAUUUGUGACAGAAUUAUAUAAGAAAAGAAAAAUCACAAUGUCUUUCCAAUUUAGCACAUUUAAGUGAGAAACACCAAGGGUGCCUACUCAAACUGAUAAAGACAAUUGUGGAGUCUUUUGCAUGAAGUUUCUUGCUGAAUGGGAGGGUGACAAUACCCAAAUGGAAUCUUUCAAAAAUUGGUCCAAAAUGAGAAAGCAUGGGAAGAAUGGCAAGAUUGAAAAAAUUGUGGAUUUGAGAAUUGGAAUCGCUUCCACAAUAUUAAUCGACUCAAGCAAUUGCAAAAGAAACUAUAUGGAGAAGGCAGCAACUUCAUACUAUGAAGAAAUGCUUCAAAAGCUAGCACAUCCAACAUGAUAUGUAACCUCCGAUUAAGGACUGGAUUAGUUUUAAUGUUUUUUUUAUUGAGUUUGUAUAAAGAUGUUGAUGAAUUUCUGAAUUUGUAUCAAGUUUAUGAUGAAUUUCUGGAUAUGUUCUUGAAUCAAUUAAAUUUCUAGAUGUUAUUUCGAGUUUAUGAUUUUCAGUUAAUGAUCUUUCUAAUGAA